rnacentral:lncRNA from 11 species
GGGAAGAGAAGGGGAGAGAAGGAGAAUCCCACAUCCCAGAAUCCCACAGUAAUAACUUAUAAUAAGUUAUUAUUAUUAUCCUGAUGUCACUUUACUGCCGGCAUAACAGUGGAAAUGAGAAGGGACUUAUCGCACCAAGGAAUGUUUGAAACAAUGCAUGGACCUGAUUCAGCAAGAUGGGUUUCAUGCCAGCAGAAAGUAGGUGUUUAAAUAAAAAAUAAUAAAGGAUUUGUGAGAAUACUUAGUCGUCUUCGCUGUACUGCAUUUUUCAGAAUAUUCUAGUGUCUCAACACUCAUGACAACCGUGGAGCCUUAAACAUCCACCACUAUGUUCAAAGUGAGAACUAUACCAGGCAAACGAAUAUCGUAACCGUGAGACAUUGGAAUUGGGUACAGGAUUGCGAUUGACUAGUUAACUCCGGCAUGGACCUGUCCCAAGCCUCAAACAUUCCUUUGAUGUUGCUGGGUUUAUAAGCAUAAUCAGAUUGAAGCUAUUCCUGAACUCUUGUGUGAUAUUUAAUGCUGUUCAUUAAUAAAUAACUUGGCAGGCCUCGCCUUGUGUUGACAUUUUCAAUAGGCCAUAAAAAAACAUUCUCUUGAACUGCUCUGCAGGGA